AGCCUUUAGCAAAACAAGUAUUAAAGGUAACGCCUGCCCAGUGAAAUUUAAACGGCCGCGGUAUCCUAACCGUGCAAAGGUAGCGUAAUCACUUGUCUUAUAAAUGAAGACCUGUAUGAAUGGCUAUAUGAGUAUUUAACUGUCUCCUUUAACUAAUCAGUGAAACUGAUCUUUCAGUACAAAAGCUGAAAUAUUUAUAUAAGACGAGAAGACCCCGUGGAGCUUUAAAUUUUUAACAAAGUACUACUAAAACGCUUAUGGUAAAAAAUUUUUAGUUGGGGCGACUUUGGAGUAAAACUCAACCUCCAAGAAAAGGUACUACCUACUUUAGGCUUACAAGCCAAACUCCAUAGACCCAGUAUUAAAUACUGAUCAACGAACCAAGUUACCCCAGGGAUAACAGCGCCAUCUUCUUCAAGAGUUCAUAUCGACAAGAAGGUUUACGACCUCGAUGUUGGAUCAGGACACCCAAAUGGUGUAGCCGCUAUUAAAGGUUCGUUUGUUCAACGAUUAACAGUCCU
rnacentral:rRNA from 1 species